rnacentral:rRNA from 1 species
UACGUAGGGGCCUAGCGUUGUCCGGAUUUAUUGGGCGUAAAGAGCUCGUAGGCGGUUUGGUGAGUCGGGUGUGAAAUCUCCACGCUCAACGUGGAGGGGCCACCCGAUACUGCCAUGACUAGAGUCCGGUAGGGGAGUGUGGAAUUCCCGGUGUAGCGGUGAAAUGCGCAGAUAUCGGAAGGAACAUCAGUGGCGAAAGCGACUUCCUGGACCAAUACUGACGCUCAUGUGCGAAAGCGUGGGGAGCAAACAGG